rnacentral:rRNA from 1 species
AUUGAACGCUGGCGGCAGGCUUAACACAUGCAAGUCGAGCGGGGAAGGUUGCUUCGGUAACUGACCUAGCGGCGGACGGGUGAGUAAUGCUUAGGAAUCUGCCUAUUAGUGGGGGACAACAUUCCGAGAGGAAUGCUAAUACCGCAUACGCCCUACGGGGGAAAGCGGGGGAUCUUCGGCCCGUGCGCUAAUAGAUGAGCCUAAGUCGGAUUAGCUAGUUGGUGGGGUAAAGGCCUACCAAGGGGACGAGCUGUAGCGGGUCUGAGAGGAUGAUCCGCCACACUGGGACUGAGACACGGCCCAGACUCCUACGGGAGGCAGCAGUGGGGAAUAUUGGACAAUGGGCGGAAGCCUGAUCCAGCCAUGCCGCGUGUGUGAAGAAGGCCUUUUGGUUGUAAAGCACUUUAAGCGAGGAGGAGGCUCUUAAGGUUAAUACCCUUGAUGAGUGGACGUUACUCGCAGAAUAAGCACCGGCUAACUCUGUGCCAGCAGCCGCAGUAACAC